UACAGAUAGUCCAUAGAGGCAAUUCGCAGGAGUGCUACCACCACUCAAAAAACGAAAACGGGGGGCGUGGGGAAGUCACUCAAGGGUGAUAUUCUCGAUCCAGCUACACCACGUUUCUCAUUCUCGUUAGCCCUGGUCACAUGACCGCGGCCGCAGCUCUUCAGGGAAGGAGGACGUCAUGACUCAAGCCUCAACCCUACAUAUCCAAAAGACAGUUCAUCAGAACUUCCCCCCCCACUUGAGCAGCAGUUGUCGGGAUGUAAUAAUUAACUCAGCCGGAGCUGAGAGAACAACCAAUGAGGACGCAGGAAGUGUCACAGUACAAACAAAGCCUUUUUUUUUUCCCGCAAUAUAGCUUCAGUGAGCUUCUUGACCACCACACUUCCUGCUAGCAAGUGUGACACACCGCGGC